UACAGAGGGUGCAAGCGUUAAUCAGAAUGACUGGGCGUAAAGAGCGCGCAGGCGGUCGUUCAAGUCGCGUGUGAAAGCCCCCGGCUCAACUGGGGAGGGUCACGCGAUACUGAUCGACUCGAAGGCAGGAGAGGGUAGUGGAAUUCCCGGUGUAGUGGUGAAAUGCGUAGAUAUCGGGAGGAACACCAGUGGCGAAGGCGACUACCUGGCCUGUUUCUUGACGCUGAGGCGCGAAAGCUAGGGGAGCAAACGGG
rnacentral:rRNA from 1 species